rnacentral:misc_RNA from 1 species
GGAAGGAUCAUUAACACGUAUAUCGUUUUAACCAUCCCUCAACCCCUCUGUGAACUAAAAAACCCUCCUAAACCUAAAUCCUGAGUGGCAGCUGCGUAAAACCAGCGCUGUUCAGGUCGCUCCAGCUUAAAUUCUUGGCUUUCGGGCUGUUUUUGAGCGUGCGUUCGUUCUUCUUCGGAAUUGCGGAUGGCAGGGCGUUACAACCAAAACCCUUGACUAUUAUUACUGAAACCCCCCUAACUUAGACAGUUUCCGCUUGCGGCCGGCUGUCUGGUUAACAAAAAUACAAAAACAACUCUUAACAACGGAUAUCUUGGUUCUCGCAACGAUGAAGAACGCAGCGAAAUGCGAUACGUAAUGCGAAUUGCAGAAUUCCGUGAAUCAUCAAGUUUUUGAACGCAAAUUGCGCUCUCGGUUAUUCGAGAGCACGCCUCUUUGAGUGUCGGUUUAACUUCUUCCUGGCAGCGUGCUGUCUUUGUGAAGGCUAUUGAGUUGUCUCUCUUUCAGUAGGGAGUCACUUUAAACACAAGGCGAAGUCGUGUUCUUCGCUCCUGCAGUGUACCUGAAGACGCAUUGCGCGUUCUUUUCAAGGUUCAUUGACGUGGAUAAUUCAUCUCUUCAAUGAGGUGGUCCAAUACGUUGAUGACCUCGUUGAGACGACAUUGCUAUCAGCUUUGGGAGUCAUACAUUGUGAGAGCAAGAUGCUUCUUUCGACGCCUGUUGAUUUGGGGCUUCAAAACUCCAGUCAACAAGCACACGGCAACCCUAGGUUGUCCAACCACCAAACAGACCUCAAAUGAAGCGAGAGGACCCGGUGAAUUUAAGCAUAUUAUUAACCGGAGGAAAAGAAACUAACAAGGAUUCCCCUAGUAACGGCGAGUGAAGCGGGAAGAGCUCAACUUGAAAAUCGGUAGGGCAUGCGUCCGUCCGAAUUGUAGUCUAGAGACGUUACCGCAAGCGCGGGUGUCGGGUCAAAUUCCCUUGGAAAAGGGAGCCAUAGAGGGUGAGAGCCCCGUCUGCGACUCGUCUGCCUGUGUGUGUCGGUGCGUUCAUCGAGUCGAGUUGCCUGGGAUCGCAGCUCUAAAUGGGUGGUAAAUUUCAUCUAAAGCUAAAUAUGGGCGAGAGACCGAUAGCGAACAAGUACCGUGAGGGAAAGAUGAAAAGAACUUUGAAAAGAGAGUGAAAAGUACUUGAAAUUGUUAAGAGGGAAGCACUGGAAGCCAUUCGGGCCGCGUCUCUAGGAUUCUGGCUCUUGCAUAAGGAGUCAGGGUUUGUCUGGGGCGUGGUUGGGGUCAGCAUCAAUUUUUGGCACGGGAGAAGGCCUGUUUCGCGGUAGCUUCGGCGAAGGAAACGGGUUCUACCAGCUGUCGGGGAUUGAGGUACGACAACACGCAUUCGGCUGACGUGUCGGCGGUGGUCUCAUUGGUGGCGGAGAGGAAACCUCUGCGUUGUCGAUGUGGGCUGCUCUCCGGUGCGCCUAGCCUGCUGUGUUCGCGAUGCUGACGAUACGGUUUUCAUUGACCCGUCUUGAAACACGGACCAAGGAGUCUAACAUAUAUGCGAGUAUUUGGGUGUAAAACCCUGGUGCGCAAUGAAAGUAAUCUAGGUAGGAACCCGCAAGGGUGCACUAUCGACCGAUCACGUAAGUGAUCUUGAGUAAGAGCAUAUCUGUUGGGACCCGAAAGAUGGUGAUCUAUGCCUGAACAGGGUGAAGCCAGGGGAAACUCUGGUGGAGGCUCGUAGCGAUACUGACGUGCAAAUCGUUCGUCUGAUUUGGGUAUAGGGGCGAAAGACUAAUCGAAACCAUCUAGUAGCUGGUUCCCUC